rnacentral:rRNA from 1 species
AAUCCUACGGGGGGCAGCAGUGGGGAAUAUUGGGCAAUGGGCGCAAGCCUGACCCAGCAACGCCGCGUGAAGGAAGAAGGCUUUCGGGUUGUAAACUUCUUUUCUGAGGGACGAAGGAAGUGACGGUACCUCAGGAAUAAGCCACGGCUAACUACGUGCCAGCAGCCGCGGUAAUACGUAGGUGGCAAGCGUUAUCCGGAUUUAUUGGGUGUAAAGGGCGUGUAGGCGGGAAUGCAAGGCAGAUGUGAAAACUAUGGGCUCAACCCAUAGCCUGCAUUUGAAAUUGUAUUUCUU